AAUAUAGCAAUUAGACACUAUUAGCUAAGGUUGGACUGCUAAGUAAAUGAAAUUAAUAAAUUAAGGUGUUUUGAAUGGCAAAAUUGUAAUUAAAAUGAAAUUAAAAUAAAAUUUAGUAAAACAAAAUGCUUUCUUCUUCAUGUCAAUUCUCCAUUGCCAAAACACCAUAGAAAGAACUUGGGAGAAUCAACUAAGCAUCUAGG
rnacentral:lncRNA from 1 species